CCUGUCUGGACUGAGUGCACCCGGGACCAGAAGGAGCAGCCAUGUGCAUUCACGUGGCAUCAGAUCCGGUUUCAUCCACCACAGAGCCAACCAGCAACUAGACCAUCACCAGCUGGCCCCAGUGGCAAGAGAGAUCCUGACACACCACCUCCACCCCUUGGCCUGAAGCAGGACUGUCGGGCCUGGGCCUGGUCCGGUCCUAGCAGCGGCCCCGCUGAUGAUGAUGCAUGGACCAGCCAACGUGGAUGCUGGAUCCCGUCCUCACUAUGCUGCCUCCUCCAUCCCUGUGCCCCGGGCCAGCAGCUCCCAGAGCAAGCUCCAACCCCCGGCAGCCUCACCUAGGUUGCGCCCACGACCGAGCGGCCUGACGCCCGGACCCACCUCACGGUUGGCAAAGGCGGCGGGAGGCCCCGCUGCAUCUUCCCCCAAGGCCAGCAGGGGCCAGGGCUCCCCCAAAGCUCCGGCGGGCCUGAGGGAGGCCCUUGGCUCCGGGCAGGAGAGGCCGGGGAUGAUUGAGAGCCGGAGGGAAGAGGCCAGUGAAGGCCCUCCCAGCU